GGCGACAAGGCACGAAGCCGCGCAGUGCCGCAGCCCUGCCUCCCCUCCCGGCAGCCGCAGCCCUGCGCCCGGCCGCGCUCCGACCCACCGAGACGCAUAAGUUUACGAGGAAACGGGAGUUUCCAGAGCAAGUAUAAUGAGAAGCUCUUCCUUCAACCACAAAAUAAAGGAACAAUUUCUUGGAAAGCGAGUGACUACUUAUGAGCUACACUGACCUCACUGAAGAUGCCAUGAAGUGAAGGAAAAUUGAAAUCGUGCUGCCUGUUCAUCAUGUAUUGUGUUCUCUCCAGUUUGCAGCUAUAACAGUAUGAAUGAAUAGAGGCACCUCUGCUUCCAUGGAACAGCAAAACAGAGUAAUUUAGCCAGUAGGAAUGUCACUUCAGCACUCAAAAUUAAUUACACUGUUAAAAAAGACUUUCCAUUGUUUUUAUUUCCCUAAAAACCCCAGCAUUUUAAUGGUAAACAUUCACUGUUACAUUUUCUCAUUUUAACAGUCAGAUACUUUACCUUUCCAUAAGUCCUUGGCAUCUAUUUUAAUCAUGUGAAUAACAAAGGAUCUUUUU